GAGCACCACCUUGUCUCUUUGGUGAUGUUCUGUUGUGGCUCCAUUUCCAUCCUGACUCGCAAAUCCCUGAGGGGAGAAGGCUAUCCAGCUAGAGAUCCUAUGGUCUUGAAGUGAAUGGAACAGAUGUCCAAGAUCUGUGUGUAUUCUGGAUCAAGAUUAUGGAUGACAAGCUUCAGAAAAGCAAAGAAGAUACUACUUCAGGAAUGUGAGCAAUCACCUAUCUGGACCUCUGUUGCCAGUGCAAUAUUUUGACAAUUACCCUCCCUACCCCUAAGAGACAAGUUCUGGUGCUCCCCGGCAUACCUGGUACCAUAUUCAUCAUCUCUAUCAAUGACUGGAACUACAGGCAGCUUGGCACCAUUCAUGGGGCAAAAUCCAUUGGAGAAUAUGCCAAUUCUGAGGCAGCCAUCUGCAUUUUUGCUUUGCUUCAUUUUGAAGACUCUGCAUUGGUGGUGAUAAAAUAUUGCUGAUGACUAACUAUACCAUUAUUUCUAAUGACUGUUUACAGAAGGAUAUUUGAGCUGGAAGCUCUGAGAAGAGAAUUUGCAAAGUUCAGAACUUGACAUCCAUACCCUUCUAAACUUAUACCUCCCAUGUGUGCCAACUUGGAGAGAGGAAGGUGUUAUUGCUGAUAGCAAAACUCUGUUCUCUCUGCCACCCCAUCUCCUCCUCCCCCCUCCCCCCGGCAUUUGGUGAUCCCUGCAUUACUUCAAACACGAGGGAGCAGGCACAUGAGGCAUUUUAAUGGUGAGAGCAAAUGAAUGAUGUAGCCUCUUCCUGGCCUGAGAACCAUGGCCAGACAUUCCAAUGUGCCGGAAGCAAAAUGAUAACCAAUCAAGUUUAAGGAGUCAUCACUGUGGCUAGCAAAUGGCAGCAACAGCAUUGUGCAAGUGUGUGUGUAUCUGUUCAACUCUAGGCUAAAAACCUUGAAAAGUCACAUCUCUGGAGACACAUGGUUAUAUGCGUGUUUAUGUGCAAACAUGUGGGCUCGAUAACAGUAAACAAAAUAUCAACACACAAAUGCAUACAGAGAGCUUUCAGAAGCAACUGGAAUUUAUUUGAGCAAAAAAAGUAUAAAGCUGAAUAAAAAAUGCAGAACAACCGUUUUAUGCUGAGGCUCAUUUUGAAGACUGAAGCUUGGUGUGAUUAUUGGCUGUAGUGGUCAGCAUAUAAAGUGGUGCUACACUAACAUUGAGUUAGACAAUUGGUCCAUCUAGUACAGGGCUGCCUAUUCUGACAGAAGUCAGUCAGGGAACUUUCCCAGCCUUGUACCAGACCUCCUUCUAGCUGGAGAUGGAAUCUGGGAUCUCCUACAUGCAAAAUGUGUGCUCUACCACUGAGCUACAGCCCCUCCACAAAAAGCGUCAUUUUAUUUGUUUCUGGAUUUAUAUCCAAUCCCAGAAGCCCAUGAAACAUUACAGUACAUAAUUAAAGAUGCCAUAACAGAAUAUUAAAUUAGUUCCCCAGUUCUAUAAUGCAAUCCAUCAAAAUACCCACUGAACUUUGCUGUUUAGUUGCUAGGCAGCACUAGAAUUAGUAGUAUCUGGGUGGAUUCAGGCCUUCCCUAUUUCUGUUGUGUUCUUGUUGGACAGAGGCAAUCAAGUUCUUCUCUAGGUUUCUGAUAAGCCAUGAUAACUGCCAUUUCUCCACUCAAACUCACAACCCCUGACGGUUGGCUUUUGGUGAAACUCCUCUCUAUCAGUUUGGACUUUAACCUGUAUCUGCUAGUCAUGGAGAGUGACACAUAACUAUGUAGGACACUGAAUCCUGAGCGCUUGCAAUCCUACAUAGCCUUGUACUAUUUUCUGCUCCUUCAUGAAUUGUUGGCAUCUUAAAACCAAUCAACUAAUAAGUUUAUUAAAAAUGUAAAAAACAAACAAACCAGGAUGCAAUGGAUAUUCAGUGUUAUGUCCAGAACAAAACGGUAGAAUGCGCAAGGUCAUGAAUGAGUGUCUCCACUAUAGAGGUAUGUUAGGUGAAACACAGCAAACAACCAGGGUGCUCCAGUAAAUAAAGCAUAAAAUCACAGAGGUGGAAGAGACCUCAAAGAUCACCUAGUCCAGUUAUGAGCUUAAACAUUUUAAACCCUCUGCCCUGAUUAAAUGAUGGAGAAAUCACUGUGUUUGAAUCUCAGUCUGUGACAAUGUUGCUGAUGACCUGUGAACAUUACACUGUAAGAAUGAAUGUAAACCUCUUUAAAAAAAACUAGCAUGUAAACAAAGUCCUGCCAUUGAAAUAAUAAUAAUAAUAGUUGUAGUAGCAGUAGCUUUGCAUUCAAAUCAGAAUGGUUCUUCACAUCUUUCUUACCUU